rnacentral:rRNA from 1 species
AUGCCACCGCCUCAACUUGAGAAUCUUGAAAUUGACGGUUACAAAUCUUCAAAAUACCCAGGCUGGUUACUUGAUGGUUCGCAUUUUGAGAAUUUGGAAUCUUUGAGCUUUGUUAAUUGCAGUGCUUUGCAAAGACUACCAUCUAAUAUUGAACUAUAUAGGAAUUGCUCUUCACUUGUCCUCCGAGAUGUGCCAAACCUAAAGACAUUACCUUGUCUUCCACUAUGCCUUAAAACAUUACUAGUACACAAAUGCCCACUGCUUGUAUUUAUUUCCAACGAUGCGUUGGAACAUGAUGAUAAGAGAGAGAAUUUCAUGAUGGCAAACCACUUGGCAUCAUGA